rnacentral:rRNA from 1 species
CUACGGGGGGCAGCAGUGGGGAAUAUUGCACAAUGGAGGAAACUCUGAUGCAGCAACGCCGCGUGGAGGAUGACACUUUUUGGAGCGUAAACUCCUUUUAUAUAGGAAGAAGAUGACGGUACUAUAUGAAUAAGCGCCGGCUAACUCCGUGCCAGCAGCCGCGGUAAUACGGAGGGCGCAAGCGUUACUCGGAAUCACUGGGCGUAAAGAGCGUGUAGGCGGAUUAAAAAGUCAGAAGUGAAAUCCUAUAGCUUAACUAUAGAACUGCUUCUGAAACUCUUAAUCUAGAAUAUGGGAGAGGUAGAUGGAAUUUCUGGUGUAGGGGUAAAAUCCGUAGAGAUCAGAAGGAAUACCGAUUGCGAAGGCGAUCUACUAGAGCAUUAUUGACGCUGAGACGCGAAAGCGUGGGGAGCAAACAGGAUUAGAUACCCGCGUAGUC